GAGAUCUGGUACCCUCUGCUGGCAU
rnacentral:piRNA from 1 species